AAGGCUUUAAGUUAAAUUAAACUAUUAGUCUUCAAAAUUAUUUAUAAAGAAAAUUGCUUCUUUAAGCCUUA
rnacentral:tRNA from 1 species